rnacentral:rRNA from 1 species
GAUGAACGCUGGCGGCGUGCCUAAUACAUGCAAGUCGAGCGAACGGACGAGAAGCUUGCUUCUCUGAUGUUAGCGGCGGACGGGUGAGUAACACGUGGAUAACCUACCUAUAAGACUGGGAUAACUUCGUGAAACCGGAUCUAAUACCGGAUGAUAUUUUGAACCGCAUGGUUCAAAAGUGAAAGACGGUCUUGCUGUCACUUAUAGAUGGAUCCGCGCUGCAUUAGCUAGUUGGUAAGGUAACGGCUUACCAAGGCAACGAUGCAUAGCCGACCUGAGAGGGUGAUCGGCCACACGGGAACUGAGACACGGUACAGACUCCUACGGGAGGAAGCAGUAGGGAAUCUUCCGCAAUGGGCGAAAGCCUGACGGAGCAACGCCGCGUGAGUGAUGAAGGUCUUCGGAUCGUAAAACUCUGUUAUUAGGGAAGAAAAUAUGUGUAAGUAACUGUGCACAUCUUGACGGUACCUAAUCAGAAAGCAACGGCUAACUACGUG